rnacentral:rRNA from 1 species
AAACUAUUUAGCUAGAGUUUAUCNGAGGAAAGCGGAAUACNUAGUGUANAGGUGAAAUUGGGNGNNGUUAUGUANAACNCCNGUUGCCAAGGCGGCUUUCUGGGAUAAUACCUGACNCUGAGGUGCCGAAAGUAUGGGUAGCCGAAGAGGAUUAGAUACCCCUCGUAGUCCNUACCCGUAAACGAUGAUUGUUAGAUGUUGGAAAUUUAUUUUCAGUAUCACAGCUAACGCGUUAAACAAUCCCGCCUGGGGAGUACGACCCGCAAGGUUAAAACUNNNAUGAAUUGACGGGGACCCGCACAAGCGGUGGAGCAUGUGGUUUAAUUCGAAGCUACGCGCAGAACCUUACCAACACUUGACAUGUCUGUCGCGGAAUUCCGAGAUGAAUUCCUUCGGUUCGGCCNGACAGAACACAGGUGCCUGCAUGGCUGUCGUCAGCUCGUGUCGUGAGAUGUUGGGUUAAGUCCCCGCAACGAGCGCAACCCCUACUUCUAGUUGCCAUCAGGUUAAGCUGGGCACUCUAGUAGGACUGCCNGUGAUAAGCAGGAGGAAGGUUGGGAUGACGUCNAGUCCUCAUGGGCCUUACGUGUUGGGCUACCCCCUGCUACAAUGGCAGUGACCANUGAGAUGCUAAACGGGNACGUUAGCUAACUCAAAACCUGCCUCNUUCGAUGCNUCUGCACUCAGUGCUGAAGCUGGAUCCUAUAUCCUCNUNCCCGAGCG